AAUUAAGGUAAGUUAUAGGUAUUUAUGAAAUAAUGAGAAAUUGAUUGAAUCAAUUGAUUGAUUGAUUAAUUGUUGGUUGCUUGCAGAAAAGAGGUGAAGCACUGGCAGUCUAUUUACACACCAGCAUUGCAGUAGUUUCUGAAGACAUGGGAGUCUUCAGUGGAGUCUGCCUACUAAAAAUUGCUGGUUCAUUAAGACCACUUACGUAUACUCUGAGGAUUAUCAAGAUUGUCCCUCUUUUGUGGUGCAUCAGCAUGAUUUGGAUUUGGAUGGCUACUUGCAUGCUGAAGAGAAUUGCUGCUGCAAGAUUCUCAGUGGCCCAGGAGGAUUCACCCAACUAUGAUUGUCCCUCUUUUGUGGUGCAUCAGCAUGAUUUGGAUUUGGGUGACUACUUGCAUGCUGAAGAGAAUUGCUGCUGCAAGAUUCUUAAGAGUGGCCCAGGAAGAUUCACCCAACUAUGGUUUGUGGAUAGGACAAUGAUACAUACUGGUGGUCCUCUUCAGGUUUUCAAGAUGGCUACUUGCAUGCUGAAGAGAAUUGCUGCUGCAAGAUUCUCAGUGGCCCAGGAGGAUUCACCCAACUAUGGUUUGUUGGAUGGACAAUGAUACAUACUGGUGGUCCUCUUCAUGUUUUCAUUGUUAGUAUACAAGUAUUUCCCGUUUGCAGUUUCUUUGUGUACAUUCAUUAUUAGUGACUUCAGUAAAAUUAAUUUAAUUCAAAACUUGCCAUCUCUUAAGGUUAAUUUAUUGACAAUCUAUGUAAUAAAGAUCCUCCCUUUCUAAAUCUGUGUAAUUUCAGGUUCCUGUGGAAUUGCUGCUAACAGCCAUUUUUGGAAGGUGCGUUCAAUGCAUACCCGAUUUAUUUAUUGAAGUAAUGACGACAUGCAAAGCUACUUUGAUAGUGAUUUGAUGUAAGUACCAGAUAGUCAAACAUGGUGUGUUGGAGCCCACUGUCAUUGUUUUUUACUAAUAUUCUGGUGAAUGGUAGAUUAACUAGUAAAUUCUUUCUUGGCAUUCCUUGUGUAUGCUUUUUAGGGUCGGAAGUUUAUGGGGCCCAGUAUUAUAUUGCGUAUAUUAGUUGUUAUUGAUGUAUAAUGCAUAUACAAUUUUCCAAAGUUAUGAUGAAACCCUUUUUCAGAGCAUUGGGAUAUGAGAGACCAUGAUUGUUGUUGAUAUCUGAUCAUUACUUAAUUUUAACUCAUGAUUUGAUAUAUGUAACAUACUAAAGAAUGGCAUCUUUACAGGACAGUCUCUAAGGAUUGAUUGAAUCUUCCAAAACUUUGUAACCCCUGUUUUAUAAGAAACACCAAGUACUGUUUCUUUGGUACUUGCAGCCCAACAGCAGGACUGGUGUAAUCCUGUUGCAUCAUACCCAUUUAAGAAGUUUGACCAGGCUAUACAAAUCUGGGGUAUUCCUUGUGGGGUCCACAGGUUAUAUCCCAAUCCUGUUACCAGUCUUGCACUCCAAACUUCAUCCGAUUCAUUCCCUCUUUAAAUUGUCUCACGAACCAGAUUAUAUGUGUGAAGGCUUUCAAAUCGAAAACUUGUGUUUUUAAUUAUUGGAUAUUUCCUAACAUGCCUUUCCUGAUCAAUAGUGUUCAUAUAGCAGUAAUCUGUUAUUCUCAUACUCUAGUUUCAUAUGUAGUCUGAUUAACCCCUUCAGUACCAGGACAUGUUUUCAUAUCCAUUCUGAUUAAUAUAUAGCUAUUUUAUAAUGCUUCAAAAAACUUGUGUAGUUGUAGGAUUAAAAUAGUAAAGACUAGCAAUUAAUCUUCAGACCUUCAUAGGCCCUUCAUAAUGCACAUAAUCAUACCUCAAAAUCAAGGUAAAACUAGUCCAAUACUGAAGUGGUCAAUGAGUCUUCUGUUCUUAUUUAAUAGAUAGCUUUACAAGAGGCAAACACCAAACAUUUAUGGAAAUUGCUAGCUAGCUUACAUGAUGGAACAAAUGCCACAAUGUGUAAAGAAUAAAAUGCUUACUACAA